rnacentral:rRNA from 1 species
ACCCCCAGUUCGGAUUGAAGGCUGAAAUUCGCCUUCAUGAAGCCGGAAUUGCUAGUAAUGGCAGGUCAGCAUACUGCCGUGAAUACGUUCCCGGGCCUUGUACACACCGCCCGUCACACCAUGAGAGUUGGGAAUACCCGAAGCCUGUGAGCCAACUGUAAAGAGGCAGCAGUCGAAGGUAGAAUCAAUGAUUGGGGUGAAGUCGUAACAAGGUAAC